rnacentral:rRNA from 1 species
AGAGUUUGAUCCUGGCUCAGGAUGAACGCUGGCGGCGUGCUUAACACAUGCAAGUCGAACGAUGAUCCGGUGCUUGCACCGGGGAUUAGUGGCGAACGGGUGAGUAACACGUGAGUAACCUGCCCUUAACUCUGGGAUAAGCCUGGGAAACUGGGUCUAAUACCGGAUAUGACUCCUCAUCGCAUGGUGGGGGGUGGAAAGCUUUUUGUGGUUUUGGAUGGACUCGCGGCCUAUCAGCUUGUUGGUGAGGUAAUGGCUCACCAAGGCGACGACGGGUAGCCGGCCUGAGAGGGUGACCGGCCACACUGGGACUGAGACACGGCCCAGACUCCUACGGGAGGCAGCAGUGGGGAAUAUUGCACAAUGGGCGCAAGCCUGAUGCAGCGACGCCGCGUGAGGGAUGACGGCCUUCGGGUUGUAAACCUCUUUCAGUAGGGAAGAAGCGAAAGUGACGGUACCUGCAGAAGAAGCGCCGGCUAACUACGUGCCAGCAGCCGCGGUAAUACGUAGGGCGCAAGCGUUAUCCGGAAUUAUUGGGCGUAAAGAGCUCGUAGGCGGUUUGUCGCGUCUGCCGUGAAAGUCCGGGGCUCAACUCCGGAUCUGCGGUGGGUACGGGCAGACUAGAGUGAUGUAGGGGAGACUGGAAUUCCUGGUGUAGCGGUGAAAUUCGUAGAUAUCAGGAGGAACACCGAUGGCGAAAGCAGGUCUCUGGGCAUUAACUGACGCUGAGGAGCG